UAAUACAUGCAAGUCGAGCGAGCUGAAUUCAAAGAUCCCUUCGGGGUGAUUUGUUGGACGCUAGCGGCGGAUGGGUGAGUAACACGUGGGCAAUCUGCCCUAAAGACUGGGAUACCACUUGGAAACAGGUGCUAAUACCGUAUAACAACAUGAAUCGCAUGGAUCAAGUUUGAAAGGUGGCGCAAGCUGUCACUUUAGGAUGAGCCCGCGGCGCAUUAGCUAGUUGGUGGGGUAAAGGCCUACCAAGACGAUGAUACGUAGCCGACCUGAGAGAGUAAUCGGCCACAUUGGGACUGAGACACGGCCCAAACUCCUACGGGAGGCAGCAGUAGGGAAUCUUCCACAAUGGACGCAAGUCUGAUGGAGCAACGCCGCGUGAGUGAAGAAGGGCUUCGGCUCGUAAAACUCUGUUGUUGGAGAAGAAGAAUUGUGGCAGUAACUGUUCUUUAUUUGACGGUAUUCAACCAGAAAGUCACGGCUAACUACGUGCCAGCAGCCGCGGUAAUACGUAGGUGGCAAGCGUUGUCCGGAUUUAUUGGGCGUAAAGCGAGCGCAGGCGGUUUGAUAAGUCUGAUGUGAAAGCCCUCGGCUUAACCGUAGAAGUGCAUCGGAAACUGUGAUUCUUGAGUGCAGAAGAGGACAGUGGAACUCCAUGUGUAGCGGUGGAAUGCGUAGAUAUAUGGAAGAACACCAGUGGCGAAGGCGGCUCUCUGGUCUGCAACUGACGCUGAGGCUCGAAAGCAUGGGUAGCGAACAGGAUUAGAUACCCUGGUAGUCCAUGCCGUAAACGAUGAGCGCU
rnacentral:rRNA from 1 species